rnacentral:rRNA from 1 species
AAAGGGAUGCCUCAGUAGCGGCGAGUGAAGCGGCAAAAGCUCAAAUUUGAAAUCUGGCGUCUUUGGCGUCCGAGUUGUAAUUUGAAGAAGGUAUCUUUGGGCCCGGCUCUUGUCUAUGUUCCUUGGAACAGGACGUCACAGAGGGUGAGAAUCCCGUGCGAUGAGAUGACCCGGGUCUGUGUAAAGUUCCUUCGACGAGUCGAGUUGUUUGGGAAUGCAGCUCUAAGUGGGUGGUAAAUUCCAUCUAAAGCUAAAUAUUGGCGAGAGACCGAUAGCGAACAAGUACAGUGAUGGAAAGAUGAAAAGAACUUUGAAAAGAGAGUGAAAAAGUACGUGAAAUUGUUGAAAGGGAAGGGCUUGAGAUCAGACUUGGUAUUUUGCAUGCUGCUCUCUCGGGGGCGGCCGCUGCGGUUUACCGGGCCAGCAUCGGUUUGGAGCGGCAGGAUAAUGGCGGAGGAAUGUGGCACGGCUUCUGCUGUGUGUUAUAGCCUCUGACGAUACUGCCAGCCUAGACCGAGGACUGCGGUUUUUAACCUAGGAUGUUGGCAUAAUGAUCUUAAGUCGCCCGUCUUGAACCACGGACCAA